UACAGAGGUCCCAAGCGUUGUUCGGAUUCACUGGGCGUAAAGGGUGCGUAGGCGGUCGGGUAAGUCUGAUGUGAAAUCUCACAGCUUAACUGUGAAACUGCAUUGGAUACUAUUCGGCUAGAGAGUUGGAGGGGGGACUGGAAUUCUUGGUGUAGCAGUGAAAUGCGUAGAUAUCAAGAGGAACACCAGUGGCGAAGGCGAGUCCCUGGACAGCUUCUGGCGCUGAGGCACGAAAGCUAGGGGAGCAAACAGG
rnacentral:rRNA from 1 species